rnacentral:rRNA from 1 species
UACGGAGGGUGCAAGCGUUAUCCGGAUUCACUGGGUUUAAAGGGUGCGUAGGAGGGCAGGUAAGUCAGUGGUGAAAUCUCCAAGCUUAACUUGGAAACUGCCGUUGAUACUAUCUGUCUUGAAUAUUGUGGAGGUGAGCGGAAUAUGUCAUGUAGCGGUGAAAUGCUUAGAUAUGACAUAGAACACCAAUUGCGAGGGCAGCUCACUACACAAUCAUUGACUCUGAGGCACGAAAGCGUGGGGAUCAAACAGG